GUCGGUCACAUUCGGGAUUAAACGUUAGUGACGAAACUAAAGCAAUGCAGAAGCACCAUAUCAUAGAAAAGAACUUAAUAGUGCAUUUGUUUCUUCGCCAUAGCGAGUUACGUUUAGUGUUUUAAGAACCACAAAAUGCUGAUUUUGCUUUGCUUGGGACGUUGCAGAAGGCUGGAUAGCUUGGUUCAUCAUGAUUGUUUGUGGCUAGCUA